rnacentral:misc_RNA from 1 species
GUAGGUGAACCUGCGGAAGGAUCAUUAACACGUACCCUUUCAAAUAUAAACCUUUCUACUCGCCCUGUCUAGCAAUAGGCAGGGUGGCGAACUAUUGAAGGCUUUCUUCCGAUGGCGAGUAAAAUCGUCGUUGGCCCUGUAUCUAAGAUGGAUAGAUGCCGACAGGGAGCGGGAAGUCGGUUGGCAGCAUCUCGGUGCUGUCGGCUAAAUCGUGCAUUUGUCCAAUUAUUAACCACAACAUACAUUUUUGUCAGAAACUUGUCGAUCUCAGAAAUGGGUGAGACUAUAAAAAAAUCUACACAACUUUUAGCAAUGGAUGUCUAGGUUCUC